CAGCCGUAAACAAUGUGCGUUAGGUGUGUCGGUAACCACGCGUUACUGAUGCGCCGAAGAGAAAUCGUGAAACGCACCACCUGGGAAGUACGGUCGCAAGGCUGAAACUUAAAGGGAUUGGCGGGGGAGCACCACAACAGGUGGAGCCUGCGGUUUAAUUUGGAUUCAACGCCGGACAUCUCACCGGAUAAGACGGAUAUAUGAAGGUCAAGCUGAUGUCUUUACCUUGAUUUUCCGUAGAGGAGGUGCAUGGCGUAGUCGUGU
rnacentral:rRNA from 1 species